GACGUGGAAAGUUCUGACGUCAUCGGUCACGUGGAUUGUCAUAUAUCUAUAUAUAAGCGGCAACACGCGCUUUGUGAAAGUAAAACGAGCGUCGACGUCGCAUAUGGAAUGUCCCGUCAUUUAUUUGGACUGUGUUUAGUCUCUAGACUGGGAGAGCUUCGAGCAGCUGUUCUGGCUCACAGCGUCCCCCUGGAGACCAUCAUCCCCAUCCUGCAGCACCUUAAAUAUAAAGAACACCCGGAGGCCAUGUCCUGUCUGCUGCUGCUGCUCUGCAGAGAGGUAUGACAGGAACACACCUGGACACUCGUCUUAGAGACUCCUGGGUCCCCGUUAACGUCUGUUUCCCAGGCCUAGUGAGAAGAUGGUGAAGAGAGUGCUGAGUUGUCCCUGUCACCAGUUCACCACCACCUGAGACACCAAUCACGACAACACGCUGGGAAAAUCAAGGCCCAGCUGAUCAAGAACAACCAGCGCCGCAAGAGAGGUGAGGACAGACAGACUGAGACAGAGAUGGAACGAUGAGGACAGAGGUGAAGACAAAUGAAUGAGGACAGAUAGCACAGAGGUGAAGACUGUCUCUGGGUACCUGAUGAACAGCGGUUGUGUGUCCUCAGUCUUCAGUUACAGCAGUAACCCUGGAACAGAUCCUGGAGCUCAUGGACAACCUGAGGCUGAGCCUGAGCAACACCAAGAACAGCUGUCAGUACACACAGGCUUAUUGAUCGCUUCAGGAGAUAUUGAUAGCUGAUUGUCUUUCACUGCCAGUCUACACUCAGACCCCAAUCCUUCAGGCUCUGCAGCACGUUCAGGCCAGCUGUGACGAGGUCCACAAGAUGAGGUGCGCGCACACACUGACGGGUGACAUCACUGUGGCGGCUGAUGUCACUUCCUCCUCCUGCAGGAGUACAAAGACUCCUAGACCUAACCUCCCAAGUCCUGCCGUAAGGCUCCGGCCUCCACGCCUCGCUCCCGGGAAGGAGCGGCUCCGCCCAACAACGAGGAGGAGAGCGCCUCCAGCAGGGCCUCGGCUGUUUCCGCAGGCCUCCAGAGUGCUGAGACUGAUGCUGAACAGGACCACUGUGGGGAAGGUGUUGUUGUUGAUGAAGCCACGGCAUUGGGCAUCACUGUGGUGACCGUUGAGGGCCAAAUCUGCGUUGGUGUAGCCGGAGUAGAGCACGGGGCAGAAGUUGAUCUUCAAGGUGAUGGUCUGAACCCCGCAGUACACGCUGAUGUCCCGCUCACCUGGAGGAAAGGUUAACAACACGUUUAUUUAGCUGUAGAAUUCUAGGGCCUGUUUCGCAAAAGCAAUUUGCGAGCACUUGUAACUCCUUAUCCAUCUAUCCUUUAUCUAACAGGGCCAUAGGCAGGAUUUUAGAUACCAAAAAGAAAGUCUAUUCAGGUAGUUUCAAUUCUUUACAGUAAGCUUCUUAGUAAAGUUUUAGGAGAUUAGGAAAACCUCUUUAGAAAAAGGUUUUUACCAUAUCAUUUCCUAACUAUUUUAAAGCCCUCCCUACAUUGCCAGGAAUAAAAUUCUGGAGGACAGAAUCAUUUAUUUAUUUUUGGUUGUUAAAUGUAUAACAAGGUAUACCAUUUUUAUCAAGCUAUUUGUUUUAUGAAUAAACCAUUAGAUAAGUAUGGUAAAAUAGAAAGUACAUUAUUUAGUGCUAAAUACUAUAAGCGGUAACAUUAAAACUGUAAAACACAUUAUAAUCUAACUGUAGAUAACAGAUAUAAGAAAUUUUUCUGCUUAAGUAUUUGUCAAAAAGCACAACUUCUCCUUUAAAAAUCCUCCUGUGAUGCAUCUAAUACUGUUAAUGAUUCCUUGUUAACAUAAUUUAACAUAGUUGUAAUCAUAUUUAAUAAUUUGUCUUUUCUCUAUUUAAAUGCUUUCAUAAACAGUUUGCCUGAGAAUGAUUUGUGCAUGUAAAUAGGCAGUUAAGUGUAAGGCUGUGCCGCCUUAGGGCGAGUAUUUGUUGACAUAUGCAUUAAUAAACACUUUGAUAUUUA